GACGAACGCUGGCGGCGUGCCUAAUACAUGCAAGUUGAGCGCUGAAGGUUGGUACUUGUACCAACUGGAUGAGCAGCGCACGGGUGAGUAACGCGUGGGGAAUCUGCCUUUGAGCGGGGGACAACAUUUGGAAACGAAUGCUAAUACCGCAUAAAAACUUUAAACACAAGUUUGAUGUUUGAAAGAUGCAAUUGCAUCACUCAAAGAUGAUCUCGCGUUGUUUUAGCUAGUUGGUGAGGUAAAGGCUCAGCAAGGCGGGUAUACAUAGCCGACCUGAGAGGGUGGUCGGCGGCAUUGGGGCUGGGACAGGCCCCUAACGCCUGCGAGAGGGAGCAGUAGGGUAUCGUCGGCAAUAGUGGAAAGUCUUGCCCAGCAACGCGGCGUGAGUGGCGAAGAUGUUCGGAGCGUGAAGCCCGGUUUGUAGUUAAGAACGGUUGUGGCAUGGGAAGGCGCAUCAAGUGACGGUAACGGCCCAGAAGCGGACGGCUAACUCGUGG
rnacentral:rRNA from 1 species